CCCUCUGCCGCCGCCCAACCCUGACUCCAUAGCUGCUCAAGCUCACUUGAGGAACGAGGCACCAGUCGGGGUCACAAACCACCAUUGCGGGGAGUGUUUGUUGGGCAGGGGUACAGGUGUCCAGCCAGAUGAGUAGCCAGAGAGCGCUGGUCAGUGGGUUUCCUGCUAAGCUCAAGCUGAGUGAGGAGGAGCUGCUGGACAAGUGGCCCAGAACCUGUGCCGGAUUGGCCAGUUCACCGUGCCGUUGGGUGGGCAGAAGUUCCC